rnacentral:rRNA from 1 species
GACGAACGCUGGCGGCGCGCCUAGCACAUGCAAGUCGAACGGAGCUGAGAGAAGCUUGCUUUUCUUAGCUUAGUGGCGAACGGGUGAGUAACGCGUGAGUAACCUGCCCUGGAGUGGGGGACAACAGUUGGAAACGACUGCUAAUACCGCAUAAGCCCACGAUCCGGCAUCGGAUUGAGGGAAAAGGAUUUAUUCGCUUCAGGAUGGACUCGCGUCCAAUUAGCUAGUUGGUGAGGUAACGGCCCACCAAGGCGACGAUUGGUAGCCGGACUGAGAGGUUGAACGGCCACAUUGGGACUGAGACACGGCCCAGACUCCUACGGGAGGCAGCAGUGGGGGAUAUUGCACAAUGGGGGAAACCCUGAUGCAGCGACGCCGCGUGGAGGAAGAAGGUUUUCGGAUUGUAAACUCCUGUCGUUAGGGACGAUAAUGACGGUACCUAACAAGAAAGCACCGGCUAACUACGUG